CAAAACAAGCGGUGAAUGCUUUGGGGUGGGGUGACUGCGUACCUUUUGUAUAAUGGGUCAGCGACUUAUAUUCUGUAGCAAGGUUAACCGAAUAGGGGAGCCGGAGGGAAACCGAGUCUUAAUUGGGCGUUAAGUUGCAGGGUAUAGACCCGAAACCCGGUGAUCUAGCCAUGGGCAGGUUGAAGGUUGGGUAACACUAACUGGAGGACCGAACCGACUAAUGUUGAAAAAUUAGCGGAUGACCUGUGGCUGGGGGUGAAAGGCCAAUCAAACCGGGAGAUAGCUGGUUCUCCCCGAAAGCUAUUUAGGUAGCGCCUCGUGAAUUCAUCUCCGGGGGUAGAGCACUGUUUCGGCUAGGGGGCCAUCCCGGCUUACCAACCCGAUGCAAACUGCGAAUACCGGAGAAUGUUAUCACGGGAGACACACGGCGGGUGCUAACGUCCGUCGUGAAGAGGGAAACAACCCAGACCGCCAGCUAAGGUCCCAAAGUCAUGGUUAAGUGGGAAACGAUGUGGGAAGGCCCAGACAGCCAGGAUGUUGGCUUAGAAGCAGCCAUCAUUUAAAGAAAGCGUAAUAGCUCACUGGUCGAGUCGGCCUGCGCGGAAGAUGUAACGGGGCUAAACCAU
rnacentral:rRNA from 1 species